UAAUACAGAGGUCUCAAGCGUUGUUCGGAUUCAUUGGGCGUAAAGGGUGCGUAGGCGGUGUCGUAAGUCGGAUGUGAAAUCCCGGGGCUUAACUUCGGAACUGCAUUCGAUACUGCGAUACUCGAGGACUCGAGAGGAGAUUGGAAUUCACGGUGUAGCAGUGAAAUGCGUAGAUAUCGUGAGGAAGACCAGUGGCGAAGGCGGAUCUCUGGAGAGUUCCUGACGCUGAGGCACGAAGGCCAGGGGAGCAAACGGGAUUAGAUACCCCGGUAGUCCUGGCAGUAAACGGUGCACGUUUGGUGUGGGAGGAUUCGACCCCUUCCGUGCCGGAGCUAACGCGUUAAACGUGCCGCCUGGGGAGUACGGUCGCAAGAUUA
rnacentral:rRNA from 1 species